UUGAAUCAAACUCAAUCAACAAACAAUAAUAAAUAAGUGUAAGUGCAAGAGAAUGGUCUCAUUUAAAGAAGGCCCAAGAGUAAGCCAUGUGAAGAAAAUAGAAACACACAAGUUAUAUUUACAAAGCAUUCAAUAAUUAAGUCGAAAGAAGUAAAAUCGAAGCGUACAUGGAUUAAAAUCGGGAUGCGAGGAUGUGAAUCAAAGUCACAUAACGCAAGGACAUGCAAGGCAAAAUGAAAUUG
rnacentral:lncRNA from 1 species